rnacentral:rRNA from 1 species
UACGUAGGCAGCAAGCGUUGUUCGGAGUUACUGGGCGUAAAGAGUGCGUAGGCGGUCCUGUAAGUUUGGUGUGAAAUCUCCCGGCUCAACUGGGAGGGUGCGCCGAAGACUGCAGGGCUUGAGUAUGGGAGAGGUAAGCGGAAUUCCUGGUGUAGCGGUGAAAUGCGUAGAUAUCAGGAAGAACACCCGUGGCGAAGGCGGCUCUCUGGGACGGUACUGACGCUGAGGCACGAAAGCGUGGGGAGCAAACAGG